AUUGAACGCUGGCGGCAUGCCUUACACAUGCAAGUCGAACGGUAACGGGCCUUCGGGUGCCGACGAGUGGCGAACGGGUGAGUAAUACAUCGGAACGUGCCCGAUCGUGGGGGAUAACGAGGCGAAAGCUUUGCUAAUACCGCAUACGAUCUACGGAUGACAGCAGGGGACCGCAAGGCCUUGCGCGGACGGAGCUGCCGAUGGCAGAUUAGGUAGUUGGUGGGAUAAAAGCUUACCAAGCCGACGAUCUGUAGCUGGUCUGAGAGGAUGAUCAGCCACACUGGGACUGAGACACGGCCCAGACUACUACGGGAGGCAGCAGUGGGGAAUUUUGGACAAUGGGCGCAAGCCUGAUCCAGCCAUGCCGCGUGCAGGAUGAAGGCCUUCGGGUUGUAAACUGCUUUUGUACGGAACGAAAAGCCUUCUUUUAAUACAGGAGGGUCAUGACGGUACCGUAAGAAUAAGCACCGGCUAACUACGUG
rnacentral:rRNA from 1 species